rnacentral:rRNA from 1 species
UACGUAGGGUGCAAGCGUUUGUCCGGAAUUAUUGGGCGUAAAGAGCUCGUAGGCGGUCUGUCGCGUCUGCUGUGAAAACUCGGGGCUUAACCCCGGGCCUGCAGUGGGUACGGGCAGACUAGAGUGCGGUAGGGGAGACUGGAAUCCUGGUGUAGCGGUGAAAUGCGCAGAUAUCAGGAGGAACACCGAUGGCGAAGGCAGGUCUCUGGGCCACUACUGACGCUGAGAAGCGAAAGCAUGGGGAGCGAACAGG